UACGUAGGGGGCUAGCGUUGUCCGGAUUUAUUGGGCGUAAAGAGCGUGUAGGCGGCCAGGUAGGUCUGCUGUGAAAACUCGAGGCUCAACCUCGAGACGUCGGCGGAAACCAUCUGGCUAGAGUCCGGAAGAGGAGACUGGAAUUCAUGGUGUAGCAGUGAAAUGCGUAGAGAUCAUGAGGAAGACCAGUGGCGAAGGCGGGUCUCUGGACAGUUCCUGACACUGAGACACGAAGGCCAGGGGAGCAAACGGG
rnacentral:rRNA from 1 species